rnacentral:tRNA from 1 species
GUUUUCGUGAUGUAGUGGUCAACACGCUCGAUGCAUAUUCGAGAGGUCCGUGGUUCGAGUCCCGGCAAGGACA